rnacentral:lncRNA from 1 species
AUGCUAGAAGCCCAACGUUCUGCUGGCUCCAUGGAUCCCAGGCCGCGGGCUCCAGGGCGAGAAAUACCAACCCCACUGGCUAUUUGCAUACCAGUGGUGAAGGACCUCCGGAGCGGAGCACAGGCACUGUUCAUAGGUGGUUGCCUUUUCAAGGAAUUCGCUGGAGAAAAUUGGAGUUGUUCUGCCAAGAAAAGGCCUGAAUCAGGGUUGAUGGAAGCUGUAAAGAAGCAAGUUUUGGAAUUUUAACAACCAAGUUGCCUUAACUCUGCCUUGAAGAGACAUGUUUUUUAUCCAGAAGCAAAUAAAGGAAGGUUGACAGUCUUUCACCCGGGUGCCAUUCACUAAAUAAUGCCAUUCAGGCCAGGGGCAGUGUGGCAUGAUGGUUAGGAGAAUAGGAUUUGGAUGGCUGGGUGACCUAGGGCAUGGAGUUUAACUUCUCUGAGUCUAUGUCCUAUGUUUGGGAAGGAGCUAAUGAAAGUACCUGCUUCAGAGGUAUGAUGUGUGUAAGGAAAAUAAAUAAAGUACAAGCAAGCUGACCACAAAUUUCUGGCAUGCAGCAAACACACAAUAAAUGUGAAAGAGG